rnacentral:pre_miRNA from 1 species
AAGCUACUCCCUCCGUUCUACAAUUCUUGUCGAAAUAUUACAUGUAUCUAGACACUUUUUAUGAAUAGAUAGAUCCAUUUUGGGGCAAAUUUGAGACAAGAAUUAUGGAACGGAGGAAGUAUUAU